AUCAACCGAUGUAGAUGGUCUCA
rnacentral:siRNA from 1 species